ensembl:scaRNA SCARNA14 small Cajal body-specific RNA 14
GUGGCGGUGUUUCUGGCUGCAGCAGUGAGCGGUUUGCUGCAGCCGCUGUGACCCCACACAGAGUGAGGCUGGUUCCUGCCGACAGGGCCUGUAAAGACGUUGGUCUCCCUGUGCGAUGGUCCCAUACAUU